GCUCCUAUGGCUCAAUUGGAUAGAGCAUCUGACUUCGGAUCAGAGGGUUGAGGGUUCGAAUCCUUCUGGGAGCGCCA
rnacentral:tRNA from 1 species